UUUGCAUUUAAAUUUUCGCUCAGACACGGGUAAAACAGAUUUUAAAUGGUUCUUUAGUGGGCGCUCGCCAGCUAUAGCCGGCGGCGACAAGGGCCACGGCCCACUAAAGCAACUGAGGUUGAUUUACACAGGGUGGAGAUGGCUCUCGAAAGAGGCCGAACUCGAUAAUGAUCCUUCCGCAGGUUCACCUACGGAAA
rnacentral:misc_RNA from 1 species